AUGAUCUGCAGGAUCCUGCUGCUCAUCAUCCUCACCUCAUGUGUCUCUGGAUCAUUUGUAGUCAAUGUGACACAGACCUCCUAUCAGGCAGAGGAGAACCACAACAUCACUGGAGUGGACGUUCACCACCAAACCUGACAGAUCCUGGAUCUACAUCUUCAUCAUCUGUUACCUGAUAAAUGCUGAUAAAAAUUCAGUCCUGUAUCGUGUUCAUGAAGGUGUUGAGGUGUCAGAGUCUCAGGAUGCAAAGUUUUCAGGACGAGUCCAGAGUGACAAAGACGCCCUCAGAGAAGGACGAAUCAGACUUCAGCUGUCCAGACUCAGGACUGAUGACUCGGGUCUGUACAGAUGUGAUGUGCAGACAAAUUAUGGCAGCAGCUUUCAAGAUUGUAAACUCAGUGUUACUGCUGCUGAUGAGCCCAAACAUCAAACUCCAACAGUGAACCCACAGACAGAGAGUCGAGGAAGGAUCGGCCUCUAUGCUGCACUCACACUGACAGCAGCUGCUGCAGCUCUGCUCAUCACACUGAGUUUAAAAAGCAAAGUCCUGAGACUUUAGCUGUGGAUGCUGGUAGUUACAAUGUGCAGUUUUCUAAUUUUCCUAAUGUUACUGUUUAUAAAGUGAACAUAUUGUAAAUAAAUCUUUAUUUAUAUGAUAGAAGUUUUGACUCUUCUGUGUGUGUAUCUGUUAUGUUUUAACCUGUUUGUCUUAAUGUAUAGCACUUUGGUGUACCUUUGGUUUUAAAUGUGCUAUAUAAAUAAAGCUGUAUUGUAUUGUAUGAGUGUUUUUAUCACAGAGCCAGAAAAUCUAUGAGAGUAACACAAAGUAUAAUCUAAUAAAUAAUAUUGAUACUAUGAAUCCACAAGGCUCAUCAAAGGCAGCAAGAGAGUUUAACCAUCAUUUAAAAUGAAUCAAACACUUCAAUCUAAAAACUCAGAACGAACUGAAGUGAAGAUUAAAAUGAUUUUAUGUUCCUCAAAACCAAAUGAAGAAUUUUUCUGAUAAAACAUUCAAAGCUGUAACAUAACAUUAAAACAUUUCCAGCUGGUUUUGAUGUUAUGUGG